rnacentral:rRNA from 1 species
CAGCCGCCGCGGUAAUACGGAGGGUGCAAGCGUUAAUCGGAAUUACUGGGCGUAAAGCGCACGCAGGCGGUCUGACAAGUCAGAUGUGAAAUCCCCGGGCUUAACCUGGGAACUGCAUUUGAAACUGUCAGGCUGGAGUCUUGUAGAGGGGGGUAGAAUUCCAGGUGUAGCGGUGAAAUGCGUAGAGAUCUGGAGGAAUACCGGUGGCGAAGGCGGCCCCCUGGACAAAGACUGACGCUCAGGUGCGAAAGCGUGGGGAGCAAACAGGAUUAGAUACCCCAGUAGUCCCUGUCUCUUAUAC